rnacentral:rRNA from 1 species
GACGAACCGUGCGAACGUUAUUCGGAAUCACUGGGCUUAAAGGGCGCGUAGGCGGGCGACCAAGUCCGGGGUGAAAGCCCACGGCCCAACCGUGGAAGGGCCCCGGAUACUGGUCGCCUCGAGGGAGGUAGGGGCGUGUGGAACUUCCGGUGGAGCGGUGAAAUGCGUAGAGAUCGGAAGGAACGCCGGUGGCGAAAGCGACACGCUGGACCUCUGCUGACGCUGAGGCGCGAAAGCCAGGGGAGCAAACGGG